AUUGAACGCUGGCGGCAUGCUUUACACAUGCAAGUCGAACGGCAGCACAGGGAGCUUGCUCCCGGGUGGCGAGUGGCGCACGGGUGAGUAAUACAUCGGAACGUGUCCUGUUGUGGGGGAUAACUGCUCGAAAGGGUGGCUAAUACCGCAUGAGACCUGAGGGUGAAAGCGGGGGAUCGCAAGACCUCGCGCAAUUGGAGCGGCCGAUGCCCGAUUAGCUAGUUGGUGAGGUAAAGGCUCACCAAGGCGACGAUCGGUAGCUGGUCUGAGAGGACGACCAGCCACACUGGGACUGAGACACGGCCCAGACUCCUACGGGAGGCAGCAGUGGGGAAUUUUGGACAAUGGGGGCAACCCUGAUCCAGCCAUGCCGCGUGCAGGAUGAAGGCCUCGGGUUGUAAACUGCUUUGUCAGGGACGAAAAGGAACCGUGUUAAUACCAUGGUCUGCUGACGGUACCUGAAGAAUAAGCACCGGCUAACUACGUG
rnacentral:rRNA from 1 species